AAGAAAUCAUAGUAAGCCGCUAACUUACACACAGCAAAUAAUUUUGUUAUUUCUUU
rnacentral:tRNA from 1 species